CACAGACCGUAAUACAGCGCAGAUGAACAUGAUUCAGACUACGGCGUUUAUAUGUUCAACAAUAGCAAACGUAGUCUUAGCUGUUUUAAAAUUACACCAAGUUUAUUUCGGAUUAUUCCAACGGAAGAAUACAAGGCGCAGGGAAGUUUGAGGAAUGUUGAAGGGCUGCAGCUCGCAUGCUGCAGCGUGGCGGUUCAUUGAGUUUCUGAUUGACAGCGUGGGAGAGAAGAUGUCGUCUGUCGCCCAGCAGCAGAGAGAACGAACAGACAUUCGUAACUCUGGAGUUGCACUUGACUGCGUCAUUAGAGACGCUCACACGUCCCGAUGAACUUGGGGUUUGAAUUUGCUUUAUUUGUAGAGAAUUUAACUUGUUUGUGCUUUGAGUUGCCUGACAUCAUUUUUUAGAAGCAUUAAUCAAAAUGUUCCAUAUCGGAAACAUGUUCAUUGACUAAAUAUUCUCUUCUUCUUCCGCCUGAUGUCUGAUUACAGGAGGAAGUGAGUCAACAAUUGAAAUCAGGCUUAAAAUGUCGACUGAAACCUUUGUGUGUCAUUUAAUACACAAACGCUCAUUAACUCAAGAUCAUUGUUGUUUCACUUCAUUCAAGUAAACAAGUAAUAAAGAACAUGUGAUUCUCUUUGGUCUGAAGAAAACAAGACGGAUUCAUUUGGUUUUAUUUUUAUUAAAAGUAUUUUCAUUGUUAAAAUAAUAAACAGACGACAUAUUUAACAAUAAUAAUAACACAAUCAUUGGGAAAAUAUCUGAAGCAGUUCCUGAAAAGAGAGAAAAGAAAAGUUAUUAACAUGUUAAUGUUGUUAGUGUGUCUGUGUGUACAUCUAAAUGUUAGUGUGUCUGUGUGUACAUCUAAAUGUUAGUGUGUCUGUGUACGUCUAAAUGUUAGUGUGUCUGUGUGUACAUCUAAAUGUUAGUGUGUCUGUGUGUACAUCUAAAUGUUAGUGUGUCUGUGUGUACAUCUAAAUGUUAGUGUGUCUGUGUACGUCUAAAUGUUAGUGUGUCUGUGUGUACAUCUAAAUAUUAAUGUCUUUGUGUACAUCUAAAUAUUAGUGUGUGUCUUUGUUUAGUACCAAAUGUUAGUGUGUGUCUUUGUGUACAUCUAAGUGUUAGUGUGUGUCUUUGUUUAGAACCAAAUGUUAGUGUGUCUGUGUGAACAUCUAAUUGUUAGUGUGUCCCGAUGACGUAGCGUGCUGAUGGCGUCUUGUUGGUCUGCAGACAAGGAGAAGAGACGUGAGGAGGAUCAUCAGGAUGUGUCCGUGUGUACAUCUAAUUGUUAGUGGGUCUGUGUGUACAUUAAAAUAUUAAAGUGUCUUUGUGCAGAACCAGAUGUUUGUGUGUUUUAGUUUACUUCUGAAUACUAAUGUGUCUUUGUGUACAUCUAAAUAUUAGUGUGUGUCUUUGUUUAGAACCAAAUGAUAGUGUGUCUGUGUGUACAUCUAAUUGUUAGGCGUCCUGAUGGCGUCCCGAUGACGUGGCGUCCUGAUGGCGUCCUGAUGGCGUCCCGAUGACGUGGCGUCCUGAUGGCGUCCCGAUGACGUGGCAUCCUGAUGGCGUCCUGAUGACGUAGCGUCCCGAUGACGUGGCGUCCUGAUGGCGUCCCGAUGACGUGGCGUCCUGAUGGCGUCCCGAUGACGUGGCAUCCUGAUGGCGUCCUGAUGACGUAGCGUCCCGAUGACGUGGCGUCCUGAUGGUGUCCUGAUGACGUAGCGUCCCGAUGACGUGGCGUCCUGAUGGCGUCCCGAUGACGUCCUGUUGGUCUGCAGACAAGGAGAAGAGACGUGAGGAGGAUCAUCAGGAUGUGUCUGCGUCCUGAUGGCGUCCCGAUGACGUGGCGUCCUGAUGGCGUCCUGUUGGUCUGCAGACAAGGAGAAGAGACGUGAGGAGGAUCAUCAGGAUGUGUCUAUCUAAAUAUUAAUGUGUCUGUGUGUACAUCUAAAUAUUAAUGUGUCUUUGUGUACAUCUAAAUGUUAGUGUGUGUCUUUGUUUAGAACCAAAUGUUAGUGUGUCUGUGUGUACAUCUAAUUGUUAGUGUGUCUGUGUGUGGAUCUAAUUGUUAGUGUGUCUGUGCGUACAUCUAAUUGUUAUUGUCUUUGUGUACAUCUAAAUAUUAGUGUGUGUCUUUGUUUAGAACUAAAUGUUAGUGUGUCUGUGUGUACAUCUAAUUGUUAGUGUGUCUGUGUGUAGAUCUAACUGUUAGUGUGUCUGUGUGUACAUCUGAUUAUUAUUGUGUCUUUGUGUACAUCUAAAUAUUAGUGUGUGUCUUUGUUUAG
ensembl:lncRNA